GUAACACCGAUUUUAAAACCCAGGCCGGACAGAGAGGCGCCACGAGGCCUCAGCCAACAGGCCUCUGACUCCGACUCCGACACCAGCAUCACUAGCCAUGCGAUGGAGUCAACUCCCCUCACCAGGAAGGAUAUGAAAGAACUCCUCACGGAGAUGAAGUCCUUCGUAGCUGAGGAGCUCACCAAACAUCUAGCCCCUCUAAAGGACAGCCUGACAGCCCUAUCCCAGCGCACACAAGGGUUGGAAAAUAAAAUGGCCGAGGUCACCACUACUACAUCAGCCCACGAGGCUUCCCUACGAGACUUACGGGAACAAAUAGCAAUACUAGAAGAGGCACAGGAGGACCUAAACAACAGGUCUAGGCGGAAUAAUAUCCGCACCCGGGGACUGCCGGAGUCCUCCACACCGGAGGCACUUAAUACCACACUGCACGAAGCCCUCAGCCAUCUCUUACCCGAUGCUGCACCAUCAGACCUCCUCCUUGACAGGGCGCAUAGGGCCCUCCGCCCUCCCUCCGUGAACCCCACCCAGCCUCGGGAUAUUAUUAUCCGCUGCCACUUUUUCCAUAUCAAGGAAGCCAUCAUGCGUGCAGUGAGGGAGACCCCAUUACAAGUAGAAGGCCACACGGUCCAAUUGUUCCACGACCUGGCACCCACUACCCUGCGAAAACGUAGGGAGCUGAAACCGCUGACCCAGGCCUUACAAGCCCGGAGGAUCCGGUACUCCUGGGGCCACCCCUUCAAGCUAAAUAUCAGGCACGAUAACCGCAUAUUCACGGUCCAUAAAGCUUCUGAGAUGCAAGAUAUUGCCGCCCAAAUCGGCCUCCGUGACCUAAGUCAAGAACUACGCAUGCAUCACCUGCGCUCUGAGUCCCGAGACCAUACGUGGGACCUGCAACCCCAGAGAGAGCGCAGCGGAAGACUGCGCCCUGCACUACCCCCAGCUUAAGCCUAAGCUGGGGUUUCGUGGAAGCACCUUGCCCCGACCUCUCCUGCAGCAAGCC